CACAUCUUUGGUUAGGUUUAUUUCUAGCCAGGCAUGACCAUGUAACAGUUUGGGCUGCUGAGCCAGAAGGGAAAGAGUACUACUGCUAGACUUCCAGGAAGGCUGCUCUAAGAAAGAUGACUCAGAGGUUGCACUUUUUUAGUUUUGGGGGUUUUUUUCCCUCUACUUCCUGCUUCUUGGAACUAGGACAUGAUGUCUGGAACUCUAGCAGCCAUUUUGGACCAUGAGGUGAUUGUGCGACUAGAAGACACAUCGUAGAAUGGAGCACCAAGACGAAAGCCCCCAAAGCUGCCCUAUAAGACCUGGACUUCAAACCAGCAAACUUCUUCCAUGUGAGAGAGAAAUAAGCUUAGGUUUUGUUUCUGCCAGUGUUAUCUUUGUUUUCGGUUAUGAGCCACUAAAUGUGAUCCCACUUGUUACCCCAGUCAUUCUCCCAACUUCCUAGACCCAUUAAUAGCAUUCUACACUCACAGUCCAUCAGUGGUGCAAGACUACAACACGAUUUUAAAUCCAAAAGUGAUAUAAAUGAUUUUGUGAUUCUGUGCUGCUGAGAUAUGUGCUUUUUUCAACUUGCAAAAUAUACUAUUGAAAUCUAUAGUUAAAAAAAAAAGA
rnacentral:lncRNA from 1 species